GACUGGCUCAGGGAGGUCGGCAACGACGACCCAGAGCCGGAAAGUUGGUCAAACUCGGUCAUUUAGAGGAAGUAAAAGUCGUAACAAGGUCUCCGUAGGUGAACCUGCGGAGGGAUCAUUA
rnacentral:rRNA from 1 species